AGAAGACAAAUUCUUUCAAAUCUUCAUAGCCUGACAGAUUGGGACUGAGGGGUAACAGCAAUUGGGAACAAAGGAAGGUCUAGUGGAAGUUCACCAAAAGGGUGGUUUUUUGCAAUCCCAUUGAAACUCCCUAAUCCUCUGUGCUUUCACCGCCGCCUCAUACUUAAACUAAUGAGAUUUGUGCUAUUUUCAUGUCAAUGCUGCUUCUUAUAUUGUGCCCUAAUCAAUUGGGCCUUACUUGAAAAGCCCAUCUCGUCGGGUCGAA
rnacentral:lncRNA from 1 species